GAGUCGGGUUGUUCGCUCCAGAGCUAGAUUGUGGCGAGUAAUGGUACUCCAGACAGCUAUUUCAUCUUCUUGAGGCAUAGAGCUGAGUCGUGUUCAUCGGAUACUUCUUCUUCGUCGGGUGUUCCUUCGCCGACGGUGAGGGUUUGCGCCAUUGAGUGGCUAGCGGUGAGGAGAUCGACCCCAACUUCCUGCUGCUGUUCUUCAUUCGGGAUUCAUUGGCCUUGUAGAAACAUCGGUUGCAUCUGAGGUAGUGAGCAGCACCAUUGUGCUUGUGCCGACGAUUCCACCUACCGGCAGUGAGUCAACAGCGGGGAGUUAGGUAAGGACUUUGAUCGAGGCGGGUGUCGUGACGAAGUUGGCGUUGAAUUCAACCUACAUUUAGAGG